UGUCCCGUCUGACGGGGGACUGGAACCGGUCAGACGCGACGCGGGCGGCGUAGGUGGCAGCAGUGGGGAAUCUUGCGCAAUGGGGGCAACCCUGACGCAGCGACGCCGCGUGGGGGAAGAAGGCGGGCUGCGGCCCGUUGUAAACCCUUGUUCGAGCGGGAAGAACGGCCGGCCUUGGCGCCGGCUCUGACGGUACCGCCCGAGAAAGCACCGGCCAACUACGUGCCAGCAGCCGCGUUGAGACGUAGGGUGCAAGCGUUGUCCACUCUCAUUGGGCGCAAAGGGCGCAUAGGCGGUGGUGUCCGUCGCCGGUCAAAGCUUCCGGCUUAACCGGAGGGCCGUGCCGGCGAUACCACGCCACUAGAGGGCAGCAGAGGAGAGCGGAAUUCCCGGAGGAGCGGUGAAAUGCGUUGAUACUCGGAGGAACACCGAAGGCGAAGGCAGCUCUCUGGACUGGCCCUGACGCUGACUGCGCGAAAGCCAGGGGAGCAAACCGGAUUAGGUACCCGGGUAGUCCUGGCCGUAAAAGAUGGACACUAGUCCCGGGAGGCCCCGGCAGCCCGUUAGGGUACUCUGCAGAAGCAGAGUGCUGGGUUGUCGGCUUACCUUUCCAGGACGCAGCUCGCGCGCAGAGUGUCCCGCCUGAGGAGUACGGCCGCAAGGCUGAAAAUCAAGGGAAUUGGCGAGUGCCUGCACAAGCGGCCGAGCACGUGGCUUAAUCGGACUAGGUUCCCGAGAACCUUACCAGGGCUUGACAUGUCUCGGACCCCCCGGGAAACCGGGUCUCCGGCACCUUCGGGUGCCGGCCGGGGCACAGGUGGCGAGUGGCUGUCGUCAGCCCGUGCCGUGAGGCGUUGGGUUCACUCCCAAAACGGGCGAAACCCCUGCCUGGUGUUGCCAGCGGGUAUCUCCGCCGCCGAAAGGCUGUGGAGGUGCGCCGGGCACUCACCAGGAACCGCCGUGGUCCUGGCUGUGGGAUAUCCGGGCCAUUGGAGGAAGGUGGGGAUGAGGUCAAGUCGGUACGCCCCUUAUGCUCUGGGCUGCACACGUGCUACAGCUGUCUCUUAUACACAUCUCCGAGCCCACGAGACUAA
rnacentral:rRNA from 1 species